UACGUAGGCGGAAAAUUAAGUCAGUGGUGAAAUCCUGCAGCUUAACUGUAGAACUGUCAUUGAUACUGGUUUUCUUGAAUAUAGUUGAGGUAGGCGGAAUGUGUAAUGUAGCGGUGAAAUGCUUAGAUAUUACACAGAACACCGAUUGCGAAGGCAGCUUACUGAGCUAUGAUUGACGCUGAGGUACGAAAGCGUGGGGAGCGAACAGGAUUAGAUACCCUGGUAGUCC
rnacentral:rRNA from 1 species